UUUGUAUUAUAUAAACAAUCCGUAAUGAUCCUUAUUGACAAUGGCUAAGGAUACAAUUUUGCGUGAAGACGAUUAUACAAUUCAUUUGACGGAGAACGAUGCUAACGUUAUAUGCAUAGAAAAAACUUACGAUGAACAAACACAUUUGGAGCAAGAUAUGGAAAUGAUUGAUACGAAUAGAAAACGUAUGUUACAUGAGGUGGACGAAAAUACAGAAGAGUGGCAAGAAGUUACUAAACAUGCUAAGAAAAAGGUGAGGGUUUUCGAUAACAAUUUAGAAGAAAAUCUUAUUCAAAUCGGAAUUACGAGUAAUAAAGUCUUACCUAAACAAUUUGCAUUAGCAAAAAUAUUGCGAGAGAACCAAAUCGUGAAUGUCAGUAAGGUUAAAUACAUAAAUCCUAUUUAAAAAUUUAGGAUGGCGAUGUCAAAAAUCAUGGGAAGUAGGAAUAUCAUAUGGAAUUAUUAAAAAUAUAGACAAAGAACUGUCAGAAGAAGAAUUAAUUCAUAGUUUACUUUGUGAUAUUGAAGUUUUAGCCGUACAACGUUUGAAUCGUCGAGCAGACGAUGGUUGGGUACCUAGUGAAACCAUUAAACUAACGUUUAAAGGGCCGAAUAUACCGAAGUAUGUAUAUCUUCUAGAUCUGAGAAUUAAAGUAGAACAAUAUAUAUUUCCAGUCACUCAGUGUUCUCGUUGCUGGAGGUUUGGACAUACAGCAAAAAUGUGUCCAUCCAACAAAAUAAUUUGCCCUAAGUGUACAAGAAAUCAUCCAAAUUGUGAGAAUAAUAAUUUUAUAUGCAUUAAUUGUAAGGGUAAUCAUAUGCCGUUGGAUAAAAUUUGUCCUAUAUUUAAAAAAGAGAAAAGGAUUCGAGAAAUAAUGACAGAAUUCAACUGUUCAUAUUUGAAAGCUAUUAGUAUGUAUGUCCCCCAGUCCCCAAUUUUGCCAACCACCAACGUAGCUUGCAGUGAAUCAAAACCUACGACAAAGCAUGUUACGCUCCAACAAGCACAGUACCAGUAAUUUAUCCUGAAAUUGAAUCUGUUGAUCAGGAAAUCCCUCAAACUUCUGGGACACAAAACACAAUGAACAAGAAGAAAAAGAAGAAAAAACGUAUUAAAUGUGCUGAAAAUGUAUAUGCAGACAUAGAAGUAGCCUCUGAUUCUGAUAAUAGUGUUAAAAGUGAUUACUGUAUUAAUAAUGAUAGUGAGGAGAAUGUAACGAAGGAAAAUAUAAAUUUGCACCGUGAAUUGAUUGAUAAAAUUAAAAGUGUAAUAUUUGAAAAGAAUAUAAGUAUGUCGACUAAAUUUAAAAAUAUGAUUCAAAUAAUAAUUGAGUGGAUCACUUUGGUUAUUGUAAACAUCUUUUCAGACUUUCCGUUGAUUAAAACCUUUUUUAAUUAUAUACAAAGUAAUGGAUAGUAUUGUUAAAAAAUUAAUUAGAUUGAACAUUAUUCAGUGGAAUUGUAGAAGUCUAAAACCAAAAUUAAAGCUUUUUGAAGACCUGCUAAUUCGAGAAAAGGUUCAUAUUGCUGCUGUAAGUGAAACCUGGUUCGAACCUGAUGCCUUUGUCAAAAUUAAUAACUACAAUAUCUUUAGAAAGGAUAGAAAUAAUUCUUAUGGGGGUGUUGCAAUUUUUACACAUAAAUCUGUCCAAGCUCACAUACAUAAUGUAGAAGUCAGUAAUAGUGAUAUUGAAAUAAUAGGUGUUAAAAUAUUUAAUUGUGCACAAAUUGAAACUAUUUACUCUGUUUAUUGCCCUAGUGACAUUCGGACAACACAGAGAGAUUGGGAAUAUUUGUUUUCUUUAGUUAACAUGAAAUCAAUAUUGAUGGGUGAUUUUAAUGGACACCAUUCAAGCUGGUCUGUUAAAACGGAUACUAGAGGUACGCAAAUUCAUGAUUCAUUACUUGAAACUAGUCUUGUCCUUCUCAAUGACGGUAGCCCUACUCGACUUCAACUAAAUGAAAAUAUUUUACGCAAGUCAUCACCCGACUUAACUUUAAUAACAUCAGAUAUUUCUAUGGAUUUUUCUUGGUUAGUUUCGAAUGAAUCACUGGGCAGUGAUCAUCUUAUUAUUAAAUUAAAUACUACAAUA